UUUAUCGGAGAGUUUGAUCCUGGCUCAGGACGAACGCUGGCGGCGUGCCUAAUACAUGCAAGUCGAGCGGACAGAUGGGAGCUUGCUCCUUGAUGUUAGCGGCGGACGGGUGAGUAACACGUGGGCAACCUGCCUGUAAGACUGGGAUAACUCCGGGAAACCGGGGCUAAUACCGGAUGCUUGUUUGAACCGCAUGGUUCAAACAUAAAAGGUGGCUU
rnacentral:rRNA from 1 species